rnacentral:lncRNA from 1 species
GUGCUGGAGCUAGCAAAAUUACUUUCCUGCAUAUGCACAGUAGCUUUUUUCCUAGCAGCCACAGCUACCAGUGUUGAAAAAGCACCCAGCUGAUGUGAAAUAACAGAGAAACCUUUUUUGUGAGCUUUUCAUAGGAAGUGUGACAAGAAACUGGGCUUUUCCAGAGGUCAUCCGGCAACUCCUUUACUGGCUGACAGAAUUUGGAGAUGACUCCAUACUGGCAAUACAAUAGUCUGCUUAGUCUUGGACCUUGCAGACUUCAGGCCUACUGAACAAAGUGCACUCUGCCUCCUAAUGGAAGUCGCAUGUGUUUUUCCCCCCAAGUAUGCACUGGAUAUCCACUAUGGACCCUAAAAUUUCCAUGGGUUUGAACACUUUAUUUAUCCAUAUUUUAUUACCACUGUAAAC